UCGGGAACGGGUGCUAAGACCAACUUUAAUGAGAUCCGUGUUUGAGACAUUCCAUAUCUCUCAGUCGACACGAUCUGCUUGGUCUAUCCGAUAUGUGAAUCCCGAUGAUGGCGGAAGCUUGAUUCGGGUCAACCUCUUAAUCUCUUCUUGCAAUAGAUCGAGGGUCGAUCUGCAAUGGAGCAUAUCAGGGUUUCAGUCUCUCUCUUUGACUAGCUCAUUGAUACUAUCGGAUUCUCAACUCACUUUGGUAAUUCCCAAGGGCAAACCUAGAUAUGUAUUUGAUGUCGGCGUAUCAAGAAUCUCUCUCCUGGCACCUACG